ACUUUCCCAGGACUAACCACGUAACAAGAGUUGUGACAACAAAAGUUCCUAACAGCUGGGACUCCUUAAUAAGACAAACUCCCCUGAGAACUCGGCACACUCAGAACAGAGUGCUGCUUAAUAUCGUGUGUGUCUCGGGGAUCCCAGUCCUUUUAAUCUGGCCACCAGACGUUGCCUGAAAAUCAUGCCCUCUGGAUGGCGAAGACCAAGAAACAGUGCUCUCUCCUGGUCACAGAUCAAGGUCUCAUGGACAUAAAACAAGACACGAGGGACAAGCAGCACAGAAAGAUGGAAGUAAAAGAAACCUGGACCAUUUCUGGGGAAAAAAGGAAUCCUAUGAUAUGAGUAUUCAUUUAUACCAAAAAAUAUAUCAGGGUCGGUAAACCAAAGUCCUACUCAUACAAGUGCUUUUCUCCUAUUAAUCUUAAGUUUGGAUAGGAAAAGGAGAGUGAUUUUUGCCAUCUGCUUGACUGGAUUCUAAAUGGAGAGACCAGGACUCUGAUUCAUGAACAUCAUCACAGGACUCAAGUGACUAUAAUUCAGCUCCUGAUGACAUCAAUGUCUGAAAGUUUAAAAUGUAUUCAACUGCACUGAAGGUGUGCAUGCUGCAGUGAGCGCCAGCUCCCUUCACCCUGGAAUUCUGCUGAUCUCAACGGCAUGGUUGGUUUGCUUCCUCUGGCUCUCACGCUAGUUGAAGAUACAGACUCAUCCAUGUGUAAGAACUGUCCAAGGGGUGCUUGAAGGGCACUCUCACCAUUGCAUUGUGUUGCCAAGCUACAAACACAGCUUUAUGCUCCAAACUCUUCAAGCUCAAGAGUAUCAAUGGCCCUUGGCUUUUACUGAGCCUGCUUCCAUCGAUGAGAAGCAGACUUCCAUCUAUUCAGAAUGAGAGCCAACACAUCAAUUCAAAAUGAUGA